CGGUCUCGUGGCCUAAUGGAUAAGGCGUUGGUCUUCGGAACCAAAGAUUGUGGGUUCGAGUCCCAACCAGAUCGA
rnacentral:tRNA from 1 species